AGAGAUGUAGCUCAGCAGCAAAGCAGAUGCCUUGUGUGUAGAAGGUCCUGGGUUCAAUCCUCAGCAUCUUUG